rnacentral:rRNA from 1 species
CCUACGGGCCGCACCAGUGGGGAAUAUUGCACAAUGGGCGCAGGCCUGAUGCAGCCAUGCCGCGUGUAUGAAGAAGGCCUUAGUGUUGUAAAGUACUUUCAGUUGGGAGGAAGGCGUUGAUGCCAAUAUCAUCAACGAUUGACGUUACCAACAGAAGAAGCACCGGCUAACUCCGUGCCAGCAGCCGCGGUAAUACGGAGGGUGCAAGCGUUAAUCGGAAUUACUGGGCGUAAAGCGCACGCAGGCGGUUGAUUAAGUUAGAUGUGAAAUCCCCGGGCUUAACCUGGGAAUGGUAUCUAAGACUGGUCAGCUAGAGUCUUGUAGAGGGGGGUAGAAUUCCAUGUGUAGCAGUGAAAUGCGUAGAGAUGUGGAGGAAUACCGGUGGCGAAGGCGGCCCCCUGGACAAAGACUGACGCUCAGGUGCGAAAGCGUGGGGAGCAAACAGGAUUAGAUACCCGCGUAGUC